ensembl:snRNA U6 U6 spliceosomal RNA
GUGCUCACGUCAGCAGCACAUAUACUAAAAUUGGAAUGAUACAGGGAAGAUACAUGGCCUCUGCACCAGGAUGACACACAAUUUGUGAAGCAUUCCAUAUUUUU